UACGUAGGGGGCAAGCGUUGUCCGGAAUUAUUGGGCGUAAAGCGCGUGUAGGCGGUCCGGUAAGUCGGUUGUGAAAGUCCAGGGCUCAACCCUGGGAUGCCGACCGAUACUGUCGGACUAGAGUUCGGAAGAGGCGAGUGGAAUUCCCGGUGUAGCGGUGAAAUGCGCAGAUAUCGGGAGGAACACCUAUGGCGAAGGCAGCUCGCUGGGACGUUACUGACGCUGAGACGCGAAAGCGUGGGGAGCAAACAGG
rnacentral:rRNA from 1 species